UUGUGCCUACGGGACGCAGCAGUGAGGAAUAUUGGUCAAUGGGCGAGAGCCUGAACCAGCCACGUCGCGUGAAGGAUGAAGGAGCUAUGGUUUGUAAUCUUCUUUUAUAUGGGAAUAAAGUGAGGAACGUGUUCCUUUUUGUAUGUACCAUAUGAAUAAGCAUCGGCUAACUCCGUGCCAGCAGCCGCGGUAAUACGGAGGAUGCGAGCGUUAUCCGGAUUUAUUGGGUUUAAAGGGUGCGUAGGUGGUUAAUUAAGUCAGCGGUGAAAGUUUGUGGCUCAACCAUAAAAUUGCCGUUGAAACUG
rnacentral:rRNA from 1 species